rnacentral:rRNA from 1 species
CCCAUAACUCAGGGAUAGCCUUUCGAAAGAAGAUUAAUACCUGAUAGUACUUUUUCAAGGCAUCUUGAAAAAGUUAAAGAUUUAUUGGUUAUGGAUGGGGAUGCGUUCCAGUUAGAUAGUUGGUGAGGUAACGGCUCACCAAGUCUUCGAUGGAUAGGGGUUCUGAGAGGAAGGUCCCCCACAUUGGUACUGAGACACGGACCAAACUCCUACGGGAGGCAGCAGUGAGGAAUAUUGGCAAUGGGCGAGAGCCUGAACCAGCCAAGUAGCGUGAAGGAAUGAAGGUCCUAUGGAUUGUAAACUUCUUUUAUAGUAGAAUAAAGUGAGCCACGUGUGGUUUUUUGUAUGUAUACUAUGAAUAAGGAUCGGCUAACUCCGUGCCAGCCGCAGC